rnacentral:rRNA from 1 species
UACGUAGGGUGCAAGCGUUAAUCGGAAUUACUGGGCGUAAAGCGUGCGCAGGCGGUUGUGCAAGACAGAUGUGAAAUCCCCGGGCUUAACCUGGGAAUUGCAUUUGUGACUGCACGGCUAGAGUGUGUCAGAGGGGGGUAGAAUUCCACGUGUAGCAGUGAAAUGCGUAGAUAUGUGGAGGAAUACCGAUGGCGAAGGCAGCCCCCCUGGGAUAACACUGACGCUCAUGCACGAAAGCGUGGGGAGCAAACAGG